rnacentral:rRNA from 1 species
CCUACGGGAGGCAGCAGUGAGGAAUAUUGGUCAAUGGACGAGAGUCUGAACCAGCCAAGUAGCGUGAAGGAUGACUGCCCUAUGGGUUGUAAACUUCUUUUAUAUGGGAAUCAAAAGUUCCACGUGUGGGAUUUUGUAUGUACCAUAUGAAUAAGGAUCGGCUAACUCCGUGCCAGCAGCCGCGGUAAUACGGCGGAUCCGAGCGUUAUCCGGAUUUAUUGGGUUUAAGGGGAGAGUAGGUGGAUUGUUAAGUGAGUUGUGAAAGUUUGCGGCUCAACCGUAAAAUUGCAGUUGAAACUGGCAGUCUUGAGUACAGUAGAGGUGGGCGGAAUUCGUGGUGUAGCGGUGAAAUGCUUAGAUAUCACGAAGAACUCCGAUUGCGAAGGCAGUUCACUGGACUGCAACUGACACUGAGGCUCGAAAGUGUGGGUAUCAAACAGGAUUAGAUACCCCAGUAGUC